GGGCGUGUAACUCAGUGGUAGAGUGCUCGCUUCGCAUUGUUCCAGUGUCUGACAUGCGAGAAGUCCAGGGUUCAACUCCCUGCUCGUCCA